rnacentral:rRNA from 1 species
GACGAACGCUGGCGGCGUGCUUAACACAUGCAAGUCGAACGAAGUGGCGAACGGGUGAGUAACGCGUAAUCAACCUGCCCUUCAGAGGGGGACACCAGUUUGCAACGACUGCUAAUACCGCAUGCUGAAGGCGGGGAUUGCGUCUGAUUAGCUAGUUGGAGGGGUAACGGCCCACCAAUGGGAUGAUCAGUAGCCUGUCUGGGAGGAUGAACGGCCACAUUGGGACUGGGACACGGCCCAGACUUCUACGGGAGGCAGCAGGGGGGAAUCUUUCGCAAUGGACGAAAGUCUGACGGAGCAACGCCGCGUGAGUGAUGACGGCCUUCGGGUUGGAAAGCUCUGUUAAGCGGGACGCGGUACCGGAAGAGAAAGCAACGGCUAACUACGUGCCAGCAGCCGCGGUAAUAC